GACGAACGCUGGCGGCGUGCUUAACACAUGCAAGUCGAACGGAAAGGCCCUGCUUUUGUGGGGUGCUCGAGUGGCGAACGGGUGAGUAACACGUGAGUAACCUGCCCUUGACUUUGGGAUAACUUCAGGAAACUGGGGCUAAUACCGGAUAGGAGCUCCUGCUGCAUGGUGGGGGUUGGAAAGUUUCGGCGGUUGGGGUUGGACUCGCGGCUUAUCAGCUUGUUGGUGGGGUAGUGGCUUACCAAGGCUUUGACGGGUAGCCGGCCUGAGAGGGUGACCGGCCACAUUGGGACUGAGAUACGGCCCAGACUCCUACGGGAGGCAGCAGUGGGGAAUAUUGCACAAUGGGCGGAAGCCUGAUGCAGCAACGCCGCGUGCGGGAUGACGGCCUUCGGGUUGUAAACCGCUUUCGCCUGUGACGAAGCGUGAGUGACGGUAAUGGGUAAAGAAGCACCGGCUAAUUACGUG
rnacentral:rRNA from 1 species